rnacentral:rRNA from 1 species
AGGGAUCAUUAUCGAGCGAGGGCCUCUCUGGCCCGACCUCUCAACCCCAUGUUGCCCGACACUGUUGCCUCCGGGGCGACCCGGCCCUUCUGGCGCCGGGGCCUCCGGUGGACCGUCAAACACUGCAUCUGUGUGUCCGAGUCAGAUGAUAAAUCAAUCAAAACUUUCAACAACGGAUCUCUUGGUUCUGGCAUCGAUGAAGUACGCAGCGAAAUGCGAUAAGUAAUGUGAAUUGCAGAAUUCAGUGAAUCAUCGAAUCUUUGAACGCACAUUGCGCCCUCUGGUAUUCCGGGGGGCAUGCCUGUUCGAGCGUCAUUUCACCACUCCAGCCUCGCUGGGUAUUGGGCGCCGCCGCGUCGGCGCGCCCCAAUGUCUCCGGCUGAGCCGUCCGUCUCAAAGCGUUGUGGCAACUCAAUCCGCUUGUGGGACGCGUCGGUUCGACGCCGUUUUACUCUUACACAAGGUUGACCUCGGAUCAGGUAGGGAUACCCGCUGAACUUAA